rnacentral:rRNA from 1 species
GAAUCUUGGGCAAUGGGCGCAAGCCUGACCCAGCCAUGCCGCGUGUGUGAAGAAGGCCUUCGGGUUGUAAAGCUCUUUUACUGGGGAUGAUAAUGACAGUACCCAGAGAAUAAGCUCCGGCUAACUCCGUGCCAGCAGCCGCGGUAAUACGGAGGGAGCUAGCGUUGUUCGGAAUUACUGGGCGUAAAGCGCACGUAGGCGGCGAUUCAAGUCAGAGGUGAAAGCCCGGGGCUCAACCCCGGAACUGCCUUUGAAACUAGAUUGCUAGAAUCCUGGAGAGGCGAGUGGAAUUCCGAGUGUAGAGGUGAAAUUCGUAGAUAUUCGGAAGAACACCAGUGGCGAAGGCGACUCGCUGGACAGGUAUUGACGCUGAGGUGCGAAAGCGUGGGGAGCAAACAGG